rfam:Hyphomicrobium sp. MC1 chromosome, complete genome.
UUGCGGGGCCGGGCCCCUCUGGCAUGCACCAAAACGGUGCUGCGAUGUCGGACCGCAUCG